UACAGAGGUCCCGAGCGUUGUUCGGAUUCACUGGGCGUAAAGGGCGCGUAGGUGGCCCGCUCAGCGUGCGGUGAAAGCCUGGGGCUCAACCCCGGGUCGGCCGUGCGAACUGGUGGGCUGGAGCACUGUAGAGGCAGGCGGAAUUCCGGGUGUAGCGGUGGAAUGCGUAGAGAUCCGGAAGAACACCGGUGGCGAAGGCGGCCUGCUGGGCAGUGGCUGACACUGAGGCGCGACAGCGUGGGGAGCAAACAGG
rnacentral:rRNA from 1 species